CCGCCGCAGUCCUGGGAAUUGAACCCAGGGUGUCUCUAAGACUGAGCUACAUCUACUGGCCUAUUCUUUCUUUCUUUAAUAUUUGAGAUUGCAUCCAGAAUUACCCAGGAUGUUCCUGACCUUGCACUCCACGUGUCUCAGUAUCCCAAGUACUGGGAUUAGCAGGAUAUCACCAUGUACUGUUAAUUUUAAUAUAUUUUAUUUAACCAAAUACAUCCCAAACCUGUGAUCAAUAUGAAAAUAUUUCAGCCACAUUCAGUGGCACAUGCCUGUCAUCCCACCAGCUCAGGAGGCCAAGACAGGAGGAUUAGGAGUUCAAAGUCAGAAACUUAGCGAGACCUAAGCAAUUGAACAAGUCCUGGUUUCCAAAUAAAAUAUAAAAAGGGCUAGGGAUAUGUCUCAGUAAUUAAGCUCCCUGCAUUCAAUCUCUGGUACCAAAAAAUAAAAUUAAUAUCUUAUGUUCUUUGUUUUGAUACCAAGUCUUCAAAACACAGUAUACCUUUUAUAUUUAAUAGCACAUCUUCAUUUGAACACUAAAUUUUCACCAAAAUUGUUGAUCUCUAAUUACUUCUUUUUUUUUUCUUUCUGAUCUUCUUUAAAUUUCAUAAAAUUUACAGUAGAAAAUGGAGACUUAGGGGGCUGGUGUUGUGGCUCAGUGGUAGAUCACUCACCUAGCAUGUGUGAGGCCCUGAGUUCAAUCCUCAGCACCACAUAAAGAUAAAUAAAUAAAGGUAUUGUGUCCAUAUACAACUAAAAAGUAUUUAAAACAAAAGAAGAAGAUAAUGUAGAUUUAGACAUCUGAGUUACACCAAACACUCCUAAAAUUUUUCUAAUAUGUAAGUUGAAUAUUUGUUCUAAAAAUUUUAUAUUUAAAUUAAUCAAAUUUAUAUAAAAUAGUAAACUCAGCUCUUCAUUCUCACUAGCCACAUUGCAGUAGCUCAAUAGCCUACAGGCUGGUGGCAACUAUAUUAGACAGCCCAGCUUCAAAACCUUUCAGCCAUGCUGGGCGCAGUGGCACAUGCUGUAGUCCCAGUGACUUGGGAGGCUGAGGCAGGAGGAUUGCAGGUUCAAAGCCAGCAUCAGCAACUUUUUGAGGCCCUAAGUAAGUUAGUGAGAUUCUGUCUCAAAAAAAAAAAAGUAUAUAUAUAUAUAUAUAUAUAUAUGGCUGAGGAUGUAGCUCAAUGGUUAGGCACCUCUGGGUUUAAUUCUCAGUCCCAAACAGACAAACAAAAACCCUCCCAGGCCAAAUAUCCCUGUACCCACCAGCCUACAACAGCAAAACUAAGGUGAUAACUCACCACCACCACCAUAGUUUCUCUGAGAGAAUUCUAAAUGACCUUGCUUCCCUCCUACCCCAGUAAGCAACAUUCACCAAAUAGCAGCCUUCUCCCUAGGGGAUUGUCUUCCCCGUUUUCUUCCUACUCCAUGGAGAACCCUGCUGGACCUGGUCCUUCCCAUGUACCUGUUCUUGCUGCUGCUGUUGUUGUUGCUGCUGCUGCUGCUCAGCCAUUAGCCACCUCCUCCGGUCCAAAGCCAUCUGUCGGCGCCGGGCUUCCCAGUGGGUCCUGAGCAGAUAGAAGGCACUUUCCCAUCUUAGUGUGAAGUCUCAGUGGGCCCCAGGAACAAUUCUGCAGGGAAGUCUCCUCAUUUUUCUUUCUGGCUUUUCCCCCCUACUUCUCCUGAGGGGUUUCCAGCAGCAACCACUGGCCCUCUGUUGACCCUCUCUCCCUCCAAAUUCUCUGAAAUUACUUUUCCUCACUCCUUUGUCUCUUCUUCCUCACUCUCCCCCUUCCAUAAAUGUCUGUGUUGAGUCAAGAUAAAAGAAAAUACAAAAUCCACUAACCUUCAUUGAAGGGUGGAAAGCAACCUUUGUAUCAGAUCAGCUCCAAAGAACCUGUUAAUCCUAGCUGUGUAGUGGAGUUACCUUGUACUUUGGUAUUAAACAGAUUCAAAUUCAA